rnacentral:rRNA from 1 species
GACAGCAGCAGCCGCGGUAAUACAGAGGGUGCAAGCGUUGUUCGGAAUUACUGGGCGUAAAGCGUGCGUAGUCGGUAUUGAGAGUCACGGGUGAAAUCCCAGGGCUUAACCCUGGAACUGCCUGCGAGACCUCAGUACUAGAGUGUGAGAGGGGAUAGUGGAAUACCUAGUGUAGCGGUGAAAUGCGUAGAUAUUAGGUGGAACACCGGUGGCGAAGGCGGCUAUCUGGCUCACAACUGACGAUCAGGCACGAAAGCGUGGGGAGCAAACAGGAUUAGAUACCCCCGUAGUCCCUGUCUCUUAUAC